UGCGUAGGCGGGCUAAUAAGUCAGUGGUGAAAUCUUCCGGCUCAACCGGGAACCUGCCAUUGAUACUGUUAGUCUUGAGUUCGGUUGAGGUAGGCGGAAUGUGUAAUGUAGCGGUGAAAUGCUUAGAUAUUACACAGAACACCAAUUGCGUAGGCAGCUUACUAGACCGACACUGACGCUGAGGCACGAAAGCGUGGGGAGCGAACAGGAUUAGGUACCCUGGUAGUCC
rnacentral:rRNA from 1 species